UCUGAACCCCUCCCCCACACUGAGUGAUCCCAUAAGUAUAUGGGACACAUAAUGCUAGGACUAGUAACAAGAAUAUAACAUUCUCCUAAAUGUAAACUCAACCCAGACCGGAUGUACCACUGGCGAUUAACAAAAAUGAACUAACUACAGCAACUCUAACAAGAAAACCCUGUAAACACCACUCGUUAACCUAACACAAGAACAUUUCAGGAAAGAUUAACAGGAAAAGAAGGAACUCGGCAAAUGGCGGCCCCGCCUGUUUACCAAAAACAUCGCCUCUUGACACCUAUAAGAGGUCCAGCCUGCCCAGUGACAUAGUUCAACGGCCGCGGUAUCCUAACCGCGCGAAGGUAGCAUAAUCACUUGUUCUUUAAAUAGGGACUUGUAUCAAUGGCACCACGAGGGUUGUACUGUCUCCUUUCCCCAAUCAGUGAAACUGAUCUCCCUGUGAAGAAGCAGGGAUAAGCCUAUAAGACGAGAAGACCCCAUGGAGCUUUAAACCAAACGGCAACUCAUUCACAAACUCCCCCAUAACUAAAAGAGACGUGCCCGCAGGUUUUAGGUUGGGGCGACCGCGGAGUAAAAACUACCCUCCACGACGAAAAGAACUAAACCUUUACUCAAGAGCCACCCCUCUAGAAAUUAGCACACUAACGUCAAAUGACCCGAUUAUCGAUCAACGAACCAAGUUACCCUGGGGAUAACAGCGCAAUCUACUUCAAGAGCCCCUAUCGACAAGUAGGCUUACGACCUCGAUGUUGGAUCAGGGCAUCCCAGUGGUGCAGCCGCUACUA
rnacentral:rRNA from 1 species